rnacentral:rRNA from 1 species
AGCGAACGCUGGCGGCAGGCCUAACACAUGCAAGUCGAACGAAGUCUUCGGACUUAGUGGCGGACGGGUGAGUAACACGUGGGAACGUGCCUUUAGGUUCGGAAUAACUCAGGGAAACUUGUGCUAAUACCGAAUGUGCCCUUCGGGGGAAAGAUUUAUCGCCUUUAGAGCGGCCCGCGUCUGAUUAGCUGGUUGGUGAGGUAAUGGCUCACCAAGGCUACGAUCAGUAGCUGGUCUGAGAGGAUGACCAGCCACAUUGGGACUGAGACACGGCCCAAACUCCUACGGGAGGCAGCAGUGGGGAAUUUUGCGAAAUGGGCGAAAGCCUGACGCAGCCAUGCCGCGUGGAUGAUGAAGGUCUUAGGAUUGUAAAAUCCUUUCACCGGUGAAGAUAAUGACUGUAGCCGGAGAAGAAGCCCCGGCUAACUUCGUGCCAGCCGCCGCAGUAACAC